GAGUAAUCACUAUGACUGCUGAUAGCUAACAACUAAUAAGGACCACACAAAACACUGCACCUACUACAAAAAAAUAAAUGUUACCUGCGUGUAAGAUAAGAUUGCACUACCACUUAUACUUCUGGAAAACAAAAGCUGCAAAAGGCACAGAUCACAGCUGGCGUCUCAGCGUGCAGGUGUUAUAUUACAUCAAAACAAGAGACCGGAAGGAGGCGGGGAAACGCGUCAAGCUGCAUCGAUCUGUUUCACACCACCCGAUCAGGACACAUCUUUAUUGCGCCCUGAAGCAAUCCACACUCGGAUUAUCCAACUACAGCCUCCCAGAGAAGACUGCCACGUAAGGUUAAUUAGCACCGAGCAGCCGGGGAGGACAAGUGCCUGCUAUUUUAAUUGUGUGGAGGGUGUAUAUUUAAAAGUCCCCCAGAAAAGACUGCACGCAUAAGGUACGGCACCAGCAGCCGGGGAGGACUCUUUUGCUUCAAGCCCUAUAAGGGGCAGCAUAUUAAUCACAAAUAAAUCUGGCCAGAUUAAUCAAUGCGCUUAUUUCAAAGCACUGAAUGAAUUUGUGGACACUGGACUUAAAUAUAAAGUUUAACUAUCUACAAUAGAACUCUUUGGUUGAUACCGUCUCUAUAAGGAAUGAUUUUUUAACAUCUGCAAUAAUUGAUUUUUUCUGUGGCUUCUUAAACAAGAUAAAUUACUAUAUUUCAAUUAAGCCUUUAGAUUCUUAUAGAGCGGCAAGUGUAACAACUAGAAAUAACUCUUGUGAAAAUAUUAGAGAUUAAAGAGCAACGUUAUUGAUACACAUUUCAAAAAGCUACAAAGUAGCUAAAGAUGCUGAAAUAGAGCUCUUUCUUUUUGUUACACUUCUGGCUUCAGAUCUAUGGUGUAUAGUUCAUGUUUUGGAGAAUUGUUUUAAGUGUGGAAAUAUUACCGGCCGGUG